AACAAUGACGUGCUGUAUGUUUGAUCGGC
rnacentral:piRNA from 1 species